rnacentral:rRNA from 1 species
UACAGAGGGGGCAAGCGUUAUUCGGAAUUAUUGGGCGUAAAGGGCGCGUAGGCGGCUUGGCAAGUGGAUGGUGAAAUCCCUCGGCUUAACCGAGGAACUGCCGUCCAAACUGCUUCGCUUGAGACCGGGAGAGGUGAGUGGAAUUCCCAGUGUAGCGGUGAAAUGCGUAGAUAUUGGGGAGGAACACCAGUGGCGAAGGCGGCUCACUGGACCGGGUACUGACGCUGAUGCGCGAAAGCGUGGGGGAGCAAACGGG